UUAAAAUUUCUGUGUGUAAGUAGGAGAUUCAGAACCAUAAAUACAACUUUUUUUUUUCAUUUAAGCACGGUUAGUAAUCUCUAAAAUCCAAAUUAAUGGUGGUCAGUUCACUUAUACGGAUUCCAGCAAGAUUUACCCUCUCUUACGAACAACUCUUCUUUCAGACUCCUGUUUGCCAGGGUGAAGCAGAACCUACUCAAGAUCCUGUCAUACACACUGCGUCCACAUCCGCAUCCAGUCUUGUGGACGUAUCUAAGGAGUGGUAAUAUUUGAUCAUCCCUAAAUUGUCACCAGUAAGAGUGACAGACUGUCAUGAAUCAGAGGUAAGCUGUGCAGAGGAGGAGGAUGAAGGACCCUCAGAGAAAGAAUCGGGGAGCGAAGGACCCUCAACCCAAGUACCUCUAGAACCCCCAGGUUCAGCAGCAAAUGAGGAGUAUACUGGUCCACCAGCUAAACUUAAGCUAACCUACUGUUCAAAGACUCAUUGUGUAAUUAGGUAAACUUUCUGAAGAGGCUCUCGAAGCAGCGCAUAAAAUAUUCAGAAAAUUUCGCAAGGAAAAAUCGAGAAAGAUGAAUAGGCUUGUAUCCAAUCAAGAUGUUCUUUAACAACCUAUGAAUAAUAAACUCUGAUCCACUUGUAUCAUCAAUGAGGUACAAUUUGUCUUCUAUCGAACGAAAGAAAAAGCCGCUUGAUGCAGAGGCAGUUUCCCUCCACGUUCAGGAAAAUCAGGAUGACAGCGGGCUCGGUGAAAUGGCGAACGAGUGUGAUGAAAGCACUGAGUUAGAAGGAGAUGGCGAGGACGAAGAUAAUGAUAUGUGACACGUACUUUCAAUUUGUUGCUAAACUUUUAAUAUGUGUCCUCUAAUCCCUAAAAAUGGAUGAUUCUUGAAAAAGUUUAAA